AUUGAACGCUGGCGGCAGGCCUAACACAUGCAAGUCGGACGGUAGCACAGAGAGCUUGCUCUCGGGUGACGAGUGGCGGACGGGUGAGUAAUGUCUGGGGAUCUGCCCGAUAGAGGGGGAUAACCACUGGAAACGGUGGCUAAUACCGCAUAACGUCGCAAGACCAAAGAGGGGGACCUUCGGGCCUCUCACUAUCGGAUGAACCCAGAUGGGAUUAGCUAGUAGGCGGGGUAAGGGCCCACCGAGGCGACGAUCCCUAGCUGGUCUGAGAGGAUGACCAGCCACACUGGAACUGAGACACGGUCCAGACUCCUACGGGAGGCAGCAGUGGGGAAUAUUGCACAAUGGGCGCAAGCCUGAUGCAGCCAUGCCGCGUGUAUGAAGAAGGCCUUCGGGUUGUAAAGUACUUUCAGCGGGGAGGAAGGCGGUGCGGUUAAUAACCGCGCCGAUUGACGUUACCCGCAGAAGAAGCACCGGCUAACUCCGUGCCAGCAGCCGCCGUAA
rnacentral:rRNA from 1 species